rnacentral:rRNA from 1 species
GCUUAACGCGAAGAACCUUACCAAGGCUUGACAUAUACCGGAAAGCUGCAGAAAUAGUAGCCCCCGCCAAGGUCGGUAUACAGGUGGUGCAUGGUUGUCGUCAGCUCGUGUCGUGAGAUGUUGGGUUAAGUCCCGCAACGAGCGCAACCCUCGUCCUUUGUUGCCAGCACGUAAUGGUGGGAACUCAAGGGAGACUGCCGGGGUCAACUCGGAGGAAGGUGGGGAUGACGUCAAAUCAUCAUGCCCCUUAUGUCUUGGGCUUCACGCAUGCUACAAUGGCCGGUACAAAGGGCUGCAAUACCGUAAGGUGGAGCGAAUCCCAAAAAGCCGGUCUCAGUUCGGAUUGAGGUCUGCAACUCGACCUCAUGAAGUCGGAGUCGCUAGUAAUCGCAGAUCAGCAACGCUGCGGUGAAUACGUUCCCGGGUCUUGUACACACCG